UACGGAGGGGGCUAGCGUUGUUCGGAAUUACUGGGCGUAAAGCGCACGUAGGCGGCUUUGUAAGUUAGAGGUGAAAGCCCGGGGCUCAACUCCGGAAUUGCCUUUAAGACUGCAUCGCUAGAAUUGUGGAGAGGUAAGUGGAAUUCCGGGUGUAGAGGUGAAAUUCGUAGAUAUUCGGAAGAACACCAGUGGCGAAGGCGACUUACUGGACACAUAUUGACGCUGAGGUGCGAAAGCGUGGGGAGCAAACGGG
rnacentral:rRNA from 1 species